GAUGAACGCUGGCGGCGUGCUUAACACAUGCAAGUCGAACGGAAAGGCCCAAGCUUGCUUGGGUACUCGAGUGGCGAACGGGUGAGUAACACGUGGGUGAUCUGCCCUGCACUUCGGGAUAAGCCUGGGAAACUGGGUCUAAUACCGGAUAGGACCACAUUUUGGAUGGUGUGGUGGAAAGUUUUUCGGUGUGGGAUUAGCUCGCGGCCUAUCAGCUUGUUGGUGGGGUAAUGGCCUACCAAGGCGUCGACGGGUAGCCGGCCUGAGAGGGUGUACGGCCACAUUGGGACGGAGAUACGGCCCAGACUCCUACGGGAGGCAGCAGUGGGGAAUAUUGCACAAUGGGCGCAAGCCUGAUGCAGCGACGCCGCGUGGGGGAUGACGGCCUUCGGGUUGUAAACUCCUUUCGCUAGGGACGAAGCGUUUUUGUGACGGUACCUGGAGAAGAAGCACCGGCUAACUACGUG
rnacentral:rRNA from 1 species